rnacentral:rRNA from 1 species
CCUACGGGGGGCUGCAGUGAGGAAUAUUGGUCAAUGGGCGAGAGCCUGAACCAGCCAAGUCGCGUGAAGGAUGACGGCCCUACGGGUUGUAAACUUCUUUUGUCAGGGAGCAAUUGAGUCCACGUGUGGUCUUAGCGAGAGUACCUGAAGAAAAAGCAUCGGCUAACUCCGUGCCAGCAGCCGCGGUAAUACGGAGGAUGCGAGCGUUAUCCGGAUUUAUUGGGUUUAAAGGGUGCGUAGGCGGAAUAUCAAGUCAGCGGUAAAAAUUCGGGGCUCAACCCCGUCGUGCCGUUGAAACUGAUGUUCUUGAGUGGGCGAGAAGUAUGCGGAAUGCGUGGUGUAGCGGUGAAAUGCAUAGUUAUCACGCAGAACUCCGAUUGCGAAGGCAGCAUACCGGCGCCCAAGUGACGCUGAGGCACGAAAGCGUUGGGAUAGAACAGGAUUAGAUGCCCGUGUAGUG